UACGGGGGGGCAAGCGUUGUUCGGAAUUACUGGGCGUAAAGGGCUCGUAGGCGGCCAACUAAGUCAGACGUGAAAUCCCUCGGCUUAACCGGGGAACUGCCUCUGAUACUGGAUGGCUUGAGGUUGGGAGAGGGAUGCGGAAUUCCAGGUGUAGCGGUGAAAUGCGUAGAUAUCUGGAGGAACACCGGUGGCGAAGGCGGCAUCCUGGACCAAUUCUGACGCUGAGGAGCGAAAGCCAGGGGAGCAAACGGG
rnacentral:rRNA from 1 species